AUUUAUAUAGUAUAAUUAUUACAUUUAACUUCCAAUUAAAAAAUCUAAAUUUAGUAUAAAUA
rnacentral:tRNA from 1 species